GGACUCCUGAAAAGGCAGGCGGGGUAAGGGGGACAGGGGCGGGGUUCCGCGCAUGGCCGGAAGUGCCCCGGCGGGGUCUCGAGCCUGGUUCAGCCGCUGCUGGGGUAGCUAGCGGGCUGACCGCGCGCUUGUCGGGCGGUAGGAAGAACGGUAGCCUAGGAGACCCCGGAGCGUGCACGCCCACGCGCCUGCGGAGAGGCAAAAUCUAAGCGCGCUACGUUUGCAAACUCAACUGACCUGGAUUUGAGGCCUGCCCCUUCCCCCUUCCAGCUGUGUGACCUUGGGCUGGUCACUGGCUUCUUUAUGGCCCUAAAAUGAGGUCUCACCCGAUCCCGAAGGACCCUUUGGACGUCAGCAUCCUUUGAUCCUAGAGCUGACCGGAGUGUUCCACGGUUCUUCGGGACCAAGCUCUGCCUUCUCAGGACUCUGUCCAUUCCGAAAAAGGGAGACUAGGAGAUGAGGGUAUGGCUGGUGUGCUUUUGUCAGCUAGGUCCCAGUUCAUGUCAUUGGGAGGCUUCAUGGACAAAAUGGGGGGGACGAGAUGAACUAUACCUUGAGAAGUAAGUAGGAUUUUUUUUUUUUUUUUUAGCAAGGAGGGUGGAAAGUAGUUGGGAAUAGUCAAGCAUAAGAAAGCAUGUAAUCUCCACAAAACAGUGUACAUUUGACUAGAACUGAUGUUUCUUAUUAGAGAAUGGAUGAGAAAUAAGCAAACCUUAUUUCUU
rnacentral:lncRNA from 1 species